AGAGUUUGAUCCUGGCUCAGAUUGAACGCUGGCGGCAGGCCUAACACAUGCAAGUCGAACGGUAGCACAGAGAGCUUGCUCUCGGGUGACGAGUGGCGGACGGGUGAGUAAUGUCUGGGAAACUGCCCGAUGGAGGGGGAUAACUACUGGAAACGGUAGCUAAUACCGCAUAACGUCGCAAGACCAAAGAGUGGGACCUUCGGGCCUCUUGCCAUCAGAUGUGCCCAGAUGGGAUUAGCUAGUUGGUGAGGUAAAGGCUCACCAAGGCGAUGAUACAUAGCCGACCUGAGAGGGUGAUCGGCCACAUUGGGACUGAGACACGGUCCAGACUCCUACGGGAGGCAGCAGUGGGGAAUAUUGCACAAUGGGCGCAAGCCUGAUGCAGCCAUGCCGCGUGUAUGAAGAAGGCCUUCGGGUUGUAAAGUACUUUCAGCGGGGAGGAAGGGAGUGAGGUUAAUAACCUUAUUCAUUGACGUUACCCGCAGAAGAAGCACCGGCUAACUCCGUGCCAGCAGCCGCGGUAAUAC
rnacentral:rRNA from 1 species